GGGCCCGUGGUCUAGCCGGCAUGACGCCACCCUUACGAGGUGGAGAGCCUGGGUUCGAAUCCCAGCGGGCGCCCCA
rnacentral:tRNA from 1 species